CUUGAUGGUGUAAAGCUCCGGCGGUGAAGGAUGAGCCCGCGGCCUAUCAGCUUGUUGGUGAGGUAAUGGCUCACCAAGGCGACGACGGGUAGCCGGCCUGAGAGGGCGACCGGCCACACUGGGACUGAGACACGGCCCAGACUCCUACGGGAGGCAGCAGUGGGGAAUAUUGCACAAUGGGCGAAAGCCUGAUGCAGCGACGCCGCGUGAGGGAUGACGGCCUUCGGGUUGUAAACCUCUUUCAGCAGGGAAGAAGCGAAAGUGACGGUACCUGCAGAAGAAGCGCCGGCUAACUACGUGCCAGCAGCCGCGGUAAUACGUAGGGCGCAAGCGUUGUCCGGAAUUAUUGGGCGUAAAGAGCUCGUAGGCGGCUUGUCACGUCGGGUGUGAAAGCCCGGGGCUUAACCCCGGGUCUGCAUUCGAUACGGGCUAGCUAGAGUGUGGUAGGGGAGAUCGGAAUUCCUGGUGUAGCGGUGAAAUGCGCAGAUAUCAGGAGGAACACCGGUGGCGAAGGCGGAUCUCUGGGCCAUUACUGACGCUGAGGAGCGAAAGCGUGGGGAGCGAACAGGAUUAGAUACCCUGGUAGUCCACGCCGUAAACGGUGGGAACUAGGUG
rnacentral:rRNA from 1 species